AAGUGUUGUGCGUUGCAUUGCCUUCAUUUUGAGCCAAAAAUCAGCUAAGAAGGAGAGUGGUGACUUGGUUGCUGCAUACUUAAGGUAUAUAUUCUCUUGUACAAGCUAAGAGGAAUUUUUUUGACGAAGUGGACUUUGGUCGGUCUAUGGCGUAGAUGAUUUGAACUCCUCGAGUUGUGGUAGAACUUGUUAUGUGGUAAAACGCCAAGGUAAUGCGCGAGAUGAGGUAUGAAGAUGGCCAAUUGGAGUAGACUUUUUGGGAGCCCUUGCGAAGAUCACAUCUGCAUAUGCAUCUAGUUUUUGUAAAUUUUUGGGGACUUGUACAUGAUACAUGUGUGGCACUUAUGUAUGAAAUUUUGAAGGCUUGUGGAAAACAAGACCGUGUGCUUGUAACUUAAACUUGAUGACUGGUUUUGCUAUUUUAGGGUGUGUUUUUUUUUUAACCCAAGUCAUGCCAUAUACUGAAUUUGUAUUUUGUCUUGUAAUUAUGUACAAAGGAUGAUAAUAGUUUUGUGAAAAUCACUAGUUUGAGUUUUGUGCAUAUUAUGGACCCGUAAUGGUGUUGAUUUGGAAAUAAAAUUUCAAAACGAAGCUUCUUAAAUGUGUUGACUAUUUGAGAAGGGAAUUACCAUUUUA